UCGGCCGAGAAUGGCCUGUUUCGGGCGGA
rnacentral:sRNA from 1 species